CUCAUGUAGCUUUCAAAUAAAUAAAUAAAUUUAAAAAUAUUUAAAAACGAAGAAAUUCCUGUUUUCUAAUUUUAGUACCUGAAUAAGGUGAUAAGGUCAAGAUAUCUUAAAAGUCAAAAGAUUUCUUUGCUAGGGUAGUUAGUAAAUUUUAUAUGUGGUAUAUAUAGAUCGCGUCAAACGCUUUAUAACGUGAAUGCUUCCCGUGAUUGAAGUUCAUCAGCUGGCGCUAACGAAGAAUGUAAUGUGGGGGCAAGCUGUACAACUUAAAAAGUAAUUGACAAAAUAUGCGCAUAGUAUAUCGAUUACCCUGAAAGGUUAAGUUGGGGCAUCGAGCAUUUGCACGAUUUAAAUUUCUGUAAAGCUCUUUGUUUUGGGCCAUGCUAUGUGCUGCCACAUUGUGAAAUUCAAUAAAUUUACGCGACCCUUAACUAGAACAAGUUAAACGAAUUUACCCACUGAACUUGCUCGUAUUUUAUCGACUCAAGCGCCGGGAGCGAUGCCAUGAAACAACAACAGGAAGAACAAGAACAAUCGGCAAGGAUAUGGAAAGCACACAAUUUCGUGACCGAUAACCAGGAAAUAGUACCGAAAUGCGAAAAAGCCGCCGGCGCUUUGGUUAACUUGGAAGGCGCCGAUAAGUAAACAAUGCAAAGGCAUAGGUUGGGGCUGGUUUUGGAAGGCGCUAGCUAGAUUACAGGUGCCGUAAAAUGUUAAAGCUGUGCAUUUUUAAAAUUGUUCAAUAAUAAUUAACGAGAGUUUGCAAUUAAAUGCGUUGCAUUCAAA